GUGUCAGCAGCCGCGGUAAUACGUAGGUGGCAAGCGUUGUCCGGAUUUACUGGGCGUAAAGCGCGCGCAGGUGGCCUGUCGCGUCCGAGGUGAAAUCUCCCGGCUCAACUGGGAGGGGUCUUCGGAUACGGGCAGGCUUGAGGAGAGCAGAGGUAGGCGGAAUUCUGGGUGUAGUGGUGAAAUGCGUAGAUAUCCAGAGGAACACCAGUGGCGAAGGCGGCCUACUGGGCUCCACCUGACACUGAGGCGCGAAAGCGUGGGGAGCGAACCGGAUUAGAUACCCGGGUAGUCCACGCCGUAAACGAUGGGCACUAGAUGUGAGGGGUAUUGACCCCCCUUGUGUCGUAGCUAACGCGUUAAGUGCCCCGCCUGGGGAGUACGGCCGCAAGGCUAAA
rnacentral:rRNA from 1 species